CGACCACGUUGAUAGGCCGGGUGUGGAAGUGCGGCAACGCAUGAAGCUUACCGGUACUAAUAGCUCGAUUGGCUUGAUCGUUCUCAUU
rnacentral:rRNA from 2 species